GACGAACGCUGGCGGCGUGCUUAACACAUGCGAGUCGAACGGAAAGGCCCUGCUUUUGUGGGGUGCUCGAGUGGCGAACGCGUGAGUGAAACGUGAGUAUCCCGCCCUUGUCUUUGGGAUAUCAUCACGAAACUCGGGCUAAUACAGGAUAGGAGAUCCUGCAGCAUGGUGGGGGUUGGAAAGUUUCGGCGGUUGGGGAUGGACUCGCGGCUUAUCAGCUAGUUAGUGGGGUAGUGGCUUACCAAGGCUUUGACGGGUAGCCGGCCUGAGAGGGUGACCGGCCUCAUUGGGCCUGAGAUACGGACCAGACUCCUACGGGAGGCAGCAGUGGGGAACAUUGCACAAUGGGCGCAAGCCUGAUGCAGCAGCCCCGCGUGCGGAAUGACGGCCUUCGGGUGAUAAACCGCUUUCGCCUGUGACGAAGCGUGAGUGACGGUAAUUAAUAAAGAAGCACCGGCUAACUACGUG
rnacentral:rRNA from 1 species